rnacentral:rRNA from 1 species
GAUGAACGCUGGCGGCGUGCCUAAUACAUGCAAGUCGAGCGAACGGACGAGAAGCUUGCUUCUCUGAUGUUAGCGGCGGACGGGUGAGUAACACGUGGAUAACCUACCUAUAAGACUGGGAUAACUUCGGGAAACCGGAGCUAAUACCGGAUGAUAUUUUGAACCGCAUGGUUCAAAAGUGAAAGACGGUCUUGCUGUCACUUAUAGAUGGAUCCGCGCUGCAUUAGCUAGUUGGUAAGGUAACGGCUUACCAAGGCAACGAUGCAUAGCCGACCUGAGAGGGUGAUCGGCCACACUGGAACUGAGACACGGUCCAGACGCCUACGGGAGGCAGCAGUAGGGAAUCUUCCGCAAUGGGCGAAAGCAUGACGGAACAACGCCGCGUGAGUGAUGAAGGUCUUCGGAUCGUAAAACUCUGUUAUUAGGGAAGAACAUAUGUGUAAGUAACUGUGCACAUCUUGACGGUACCUAAUCAGAAAGCAACGGCUAACUACGUG